GACGAACGCUGGCGGCGUGCCUAAUACAUGCAAGUUGAGCGAUGAAGAUUGGUGCUUGCACCAAUUUGAAGAGCAGCGAACGGGUGAGUAACGCGUGGGGAAUCUGCCUUUGAGCGGGGGACAACAUUUGGAAACGAAUGCUAAUACCGCAUAACAACUUUAAACAUAAGUUUUAAGUUUGAAAGAUGCAAUUGCAUCACUCAAAGAUGAUCCCGCGUUGUAUUAGCUAGUUGGUGAGGUAAAGGCUCACCAAGGCGAUGAUACAUAGCCGACCUGAGAGGGUGCUCGGCCACAUCGGGACUGAGACACGGCCCAAACUCCUCCGGGGGGCAGCAGUAGGGAAUCUUCGGCAAUGGACGAAAGUCUGACCGAGCAACGCCGCGUGAGUGCAGAAGGUUUUCGGAUCGUAACACUCUGUUGGUAGAGAAGAACGUUGGUGAGAGUGGAAAGCUCAUCAAGUGACGGUAACUACCCAGAAAGGGACGGCUAACUACGUG
rnacentral:rRNA from 1 species